GGAGCAGGUUUGGGGAGGGAGGCACUGUAAAGGAAAGAGAUAGUACGUGGUGGAAAGUAAGCAAGGAAAUUCAGAAGGAACCGGGUGAAAGCUAAAAAUAUAGGAGAGAACUUUAUGACAAGAUAGAGGUAAAAGAAUGGAGUACGCUUGAUAAGUGUUUAUGGAGACCAACCUGUGAAAACAAGUAACUGAAGAAAAAGGAGAUAGAAGAGUCAUGGGGUGAAAAGGCUAAUAAAGUAGAAGGUGUGAAAUAUAUGGAAGCAGGAACGCUAAGAAAAAAAUAAGGACGUGAAAGAGUAAAGAGGCAGUGUUAAGACACCCAAGGAGACAAGGGGGGUUGGGAUAUAAAGAGGGGUGACAGGAAAUACAAAAAAACGAAGAAAAAGAAAUUGAGGAAUGCAGAAAGCAACGAUGUGAGAUAAAAGCAGACUGGGAGCGACUCGACGCCAAGAGGGGCAACAAGAAGGGGAACCGGAGUGCUGGGUGAUGGGAGGGGGGUCCAAUAUGGAGGAGGAAAAGGAAGCUCUCGUUGAGGAGGACCGGCUGGGGCAGUCCACCCCAGGGCGGAGGCGGGGGAAAGGGCUGAGAGAGGGGAGUGAGGGACCAGGAGCGCAGCAGAGGCUGGAGAUUACGAGCCCAGGAAUGGGGUCGCCCCAUGAAGCCAGGAAGGGCUGUCCUUAUUUAAAAAAAGGCAGGGCGUGCGGAGCAUGCGGAGGUGAUUUGCAUAAAGAGGAGGGACUUACAGACGCUAGGACACCGGUUGGCUGAGGAGGCGGGGCUCCGGCGUCGGCCGUUGAUACGUGUAGAGGAGGCGGGAAUGCGGCGCCGGCCGGCCGGGCGGUUGGGACGCAGAAUUUACACGACGGACUGAGGAGAAAGAGGUGGAGCGUGCGUCCUGCGUAUGUGGAAAGAUGGAAGCGGAGAGACAUAGGGCGGCGACAGUGGAGGGAAGCGAUGGAAGAUCCGUGGUGUUUUUAACGGAGGAGAAGGGGAGAGAUGAUAGGUGCGGGAAAGAUUAGCUGCCGGUGGGCGGAGCUUACGUAGACCGGGGAAGAGUCGCGUCCUUUCGCGAGGGGUGAAAGCCCUCCUUUUAUUAAAUUACGUCAUGCAAAUGAGGCGGAUAGACAGGCCAAUCCAAGGGUACAGGGGAGCGUGUCGUCAGCACCACACAGUGUAGGAGUUCUUUGGGUAAUUCUGUUGAUUUGAAUAACGUAUGCAAAUCAUUCGAACAAAGGUUAGGAAUGACCUGUUCACCAAAAUAUCGGCAACCAAUGGCUAAGAUGAACAUGUAUUUUUAUAACCUGUUUUUUUUAUUAUUGUGGUGAGGAUACUUGUAUUUUUAACGUUAGUGCCAAUUUGUAUUCAUAAUGGGUUUUACAAUAUGCAGUAGUACUGGUAUUUCCCCCCUUUGUCUGCUGUUAACUGACUGUAGAACCUUCUGCUCCAAUCAGACCUAUUACCCCGUCAACAAAUAUAUUUUGAAGGCUUACUCAGUUCAGUGUUAACCAUGGAGAUAUGCACAGAAUGUUAAAGAAGUACGAAAACCAAAACCAAAUCCAUUGCCUUCCAGUCGAUUAUCUGACCAUACUUGGUGAGGUUUAGAAAUGCUUCGAAUAAUGUGAGUGUUUGUUGCAGUUAUGAAGAACUAGUUAGAACUUAGCCAGGUUUGAGGAGACGGGUACAUAUCUCAAGCCUAGUGAACAGAUGAAUGAAGGCAUGGGUUUGGGGACCCAUGCUUAGGCUGAUGUGGUUAAAUAAAGGAACUGCUUUUCUGUUAUUGUAGAUGAGGGUGGAAAAGUUAGCAGGAAUCAGAUAUGAUUUUUUUCCUGUGGUACACUAAGAUAUUUAAGAUGACGUCACCUCUCAAAUUUCAAAAUGAUUCUCUGUCCCCUCUACCCGGCCAGCUACCACCUCGUUUCUUUGCUUGCCUUUGCAACAAAGCUUCUUGGAAAAGCUAAGCAUACUGUCUCCAGUUUUCUUUCCUUUCACUGUCUCUUAAACCCACUCCAGUCAUGCUUUCACCCCCACCCUCUACCAAAACUGAGUUGGUCAAGGACAUCCAGUCUUGUGACUUGAAAUAAGAUUUAUAUAUACUCUCAUGACUUCCAAAGGUGUAUCUCCCAGACCUGUGCCUGGAACUCUGAACUUGCAUAUGUAGCUAUGUACUGGACAUCUCCUCUUGGGUAUCUAACAGAUCACGUCAAAUUCAGAAUAUCCAAAACUCUGGUCCCUCAAAAUCUCUUCUAUCCACAACCUUCAUCUCAGUUGAUGGCAAUCUGAAAAAAAUCCAGUUAAGCCAAAACCUUGGAAUCCUUACUGACGCCUUUACCUCACUCCCCACUUUCAGCCAGACAGGAUAUUCUAUCCUGAGAAAAUAUCCAGAAUCCAACCUCUUCACUUCCACCUUAACCUGAGCCAACCUCAUCGCUCACCUGUGUUACAGCUUCCUAACUGAUCUCUCUUAUUCUACCUCUGCUCCCACAGCCUCUUCUUUACACAACAGCUAGAGUGGGCCUUUUCUCAAAAAAAAAAACUCUUUUGCUCAAAGCCCUUCGGUGGCUCCCCAUAUCUCUCAGAAUAAAAGCCAAAGUCCUUACAGUGGCCUACAAGGCCCUAGCGAUCUGGCCCCAAUCAUGUCUCUGACUUUACUUCUUAUCACUUUCCCUACCUGCUACUAGGCAUGGUCUCACCCUGGGGCCUGUUGACUUUUCUGUCUGCACAGUUGACUCUUCCCCAAGAAAUCCUUUACUCUGAUAACACCAGUUCUUUGAUUCAUUCACCCACUCAUUUGAGUUUUAAACUCAAAUUGGAAGUUUAUGAUAUGUUAGGAACUGCAGUGUAAGUCAUAUUAUCCUCAUUUUCAGGUGAAACACUCAUAGAGGCUGAGUAAUUUGCCAAAGUUACAAAGCUUGUAGUGGUGGAGAAUGUUGGCUCAAGGUUGGCUCACUUGCUCUUUGUGAAACUGACCAAGGGUCUGGGGGAUGUAUUUUUUUCUGUGCAUGUCUUUUCUUUCCACCUAAAUUUCUUAAGGACAGGCUUCUUAUAGAUCUGAAAUGCCAAUCCAUGCUCCAAACCAUCUACACCUAUUAGUAGACACACUAUGGAAUUGUUGAUGGAUUGCUUAUAUGGGCAAAUCCUUGCUGUUCUUCCCUUGAAGGUGCUUCCUCUUCUACUAACCCAGGGGAAAAAAAAUCACCCCCCAAAAGACCAAGCUGACCGGAUCUGGAGGAGGAGGGUCCACCUAAAUUCCUUAAGGACAGGCUUCUUAUAGAUCUGAAAUCCCAAUCCAUGCUCCAAACCAUCUACACCUAUUAGUAGACACACUAUGGAAUUGUUGAUGGAUUGCUUAUAUGGGCAAAUCCUUGCUAUUCUUCCCUUGAAGGUGCUUCCUCUUCUACUAACCCAGGGGAAAAAAAAUCACCCCCCAAAAGACCAAGCUGACCGGAUCUGGAGGAGGAGGGUAAUUUAUUUAAUUUACAGCUUGAUUCCGGCUCACAACUGGAGACAUUAGAAGCCCCUUCAGUCCCACCUCACCCCCCAAUUCAGGGCAACUCAGAGAUAGUUUUCUUGGCUGGGGGACCUGUUGGCUUCUCCUGUUCUCUCGCUUUCUCCUCAUACAUCAGGAUCCUGGUUGGGAUGGGAAGUGACACAGGGAUCAGGGAGUAUUCCUCUCAAGAGAAUAAUCUUAUUCUGCUGAGAAAGUCCAGGAGAGGGUGGGAAUUGUGAGGGUGAGAGAAGGUGGAGGAGCAGGGAUGGCAGUGUUGAGGGCUGUGAAGAUCAGAAUCAUGGAUGGGGAUGGAUGGGACCUUGGAAUGGUCCAUCUAAAGAUUGAAGAAAUGGAAGCUGAGGUAUAUAUAGAAGGUAAGCCUGGAGAUAGGAGGAGGCAGGGAGAAAAUGGGUAAGUAUGGGGGAGACUGGAACUGGACUCUCACAUUUUUAGGAUGGCAGAUCCCUUGCCCAACAUCAUCCUGAGGAAGUCAGGGUAGCUGAACGUCUCCCCAGAGCCUCUGGACACCUCCUGGAUUAAUUUCUUUAGCUCCAGAUGGGUCUUGGGGACACCAAGUUUCUCCAGCAUUCGCUUCAAGGACAUGAUAUCUGGUGGCAGCAGAUGGGGGAGGGGAGAGGAAGGGCAGUCAACCUCUCUCUCUCUUCCUGCACCCAUCUCCCUGUUCCCAUUCCCUUUCCCCCUACUCUGGUGGGUAAAGUACCUAGGCCAGGCCUCCCCCUUCCUAGGUCUGCACACUCCCCCAAAUCACCCUUUUCUCACCGAUUUCUCCGUCUGCAUUCAGGUCAAACUCCAUGUAUUUCUCUGGGUGGGAGAGAGAGCAGGGAAGGUGAUCCCUGGCUGGAGGGUCACAGGCAGUAGGCAAAAGCUGGGCAGGGGUUGAGGAGGGGCUUGCUGAGAAAGUGCUAGAUGGGGAGAAGAUACCGGAAGGACAAAGCAGGGCAGCCAGAGAAGCAGGAGGGUGGGGUGGGAGGGGGGGUUGGAGGUUGAAGGCCCUGUUAAGGUGUAGGGACCUAGAGGGCGGGCUGAGAGGGGCAGGCCAAGGAGGACUGCACCCUGGGGAGUAAAUUUUGUGCCUCAGUGUCGCCUUUUCCUUUUGUGGAAAUCCUACUCUCUCCCCCAUCCCCUUCAAUUUCCUGCCCCCGCUCACUCUUGAAGGCUUCCAGUUUGGAGGGCAGAUCCUCAUCACUGCUGUAUUUAGGAUCGUCCAGGAAUUGCUGUGUAUGUGUGUGUGGAGGAGACAGUAAGGACGAGGGUAGACCCCUGACACCCCCGCACCCCCUGUCCAGGGCCCCCAUCCCCAGGUCUUGCCCACUUAGUUGUUCUGUUCUUCCUUUUACCUUGUUGAUUUCUUCGAGUUGCUCUUCCUGCUGGGCCUUCAGCUGCCCAAAAGCUUUUCCCCCUGAGGUGGUACAAAGGUUCAUAGACCCUCACCCCAGACCUGCUUCUCUCCUCACUCCCACACCCAGCCCAGUGGCAUCUACGAGUCCACCUUCCUAGGCCAACUAACUGCCCUCCCAGAUGCCCAGCCCAGGGAUGUCCAUCUGCUUGCUCCCAUUUAUACUCCUUCCUGCUCCAUCUUUCUUACCCUGUAAAUCUCUGAUUUGACUCAUGGCUCCCCAGAUGCUGAUAGUUGUAAGAAGACAGACGGAGCUAGCUGGCUGUCUUUUGCUGGCUUGUCUCUCCCACUGGCUUCCUCAGAGGCCUCUGUCCCAAACUUCCCCUUUCUCUUCAUUCCCUCCUCCUCUACCUCCCAGGCCUCACUUCCCCAUUAGCUUUUGCUGACACUAACACCCAGGAAGAAGGGGGAGUCGGGUGUAGAGUAGAGAUGAGAAAAUAACAUUCUCCCAGAUGUCUCUUAAUGAGAGCCCUGUGUGUACACUGAAAAAAUAUUUUAAUAAGCCAUUGGAGGUGUUGGGGAAAGAGCAGUAAGACCUGAAAACCAUAUCCAUUGCCAUCAGAUUGAUUCCAACUCAUGGCAACCCCAUGUGUUACAGAGUAGAACUGCUCUGUAGAGUUUUCUUGGGUGUAAUCAUUAUGGAAGCAGAUAUCCAGGGCCCUUCUUCCACAGUGCCACUGGGUGGGUUCAAUUCGUCUACCUUUUUUUAAACCUGUGCUUCAGGUGAAAGUUUAAAGCUCAAGUUAAUUUCUCAUUCAAAAAUUUAUAGACAUACCGUUUUGUGACAUUAAUUGCAAUCCCUGCAAGUUGACAGCACACUCCCCCUUUCCACCCCAGGUUCGACCAGUUCCUGUCCCUUCCUGCCUUCUCAUCCUGCUUUUGCACUGGAGCUGCCCAUUUGGUCUUGUGUGUCUGACUGAAGCAAGAAGUGCAUUCCUCCCGUGUAUUAUUUUUUGUUUUGUAGUUCUGUCUAAUCUUUGUCUGAAGGGUGGGCUUCGGGAAUGGUUUCAGUUCUGGGUUUAACAGUGCGUCCAGCAGCCGUAGUUUUGGGGGUUCCCCCAGUCUAUGUCAGACAUUAAGUCUGGGCUUUUCACUAGAAUUUGAGUUCUGUUCUACAUUUUUCUCCUGCUCUGUCUGUGAAUCUCUGUUGUGUUCCCUGUCAGGGCAGUCAUUGGUGGUAGCUGGGCACCGUCUAGCUCUUCUGGUCUCAGGCUGAUGGAAUCUCUGGUUUAUGUAGUCCUUUAGUCAGGCUAAUAUUUUCCUUGUGUCUUUGGUUUUCUUCAUUCUCUGCUGCUCCUAGUGGGAUAGGACGAAUUGACUUAUCUUAAAUGGCCGCUCGCAAGCUUUUAAGACCCCAGAUGCCACACACCAAAGUGGAAUGUAGAACAUUUUCUUAAUAAACUUCGUUAUGCCUAGAUGUCCCCCAAACUAUGGUCCCCAGACCCCAGCCCUAGCUACCCUGUCGCUCAAAGUGUUUGGAUAUGUCCAGGAAACUUCUUAGCUUUUGCCUUAGUCUAGUUGUGCUAACUUCCCCUGUGCUGUUGUUGUCCUUCCCUUCACUGAAGUUGAUCCUUGUUUACUAUCUAGUUAGUAACUUCCCCUACCCCUCCCUCCACACCCUUGUAACCAUCAAAGAUUUUUUUGUGUGUGUUUAAACCUUUUCUUGAGUUCUUACAAUAGUGGUCUCAUACAAUAUUUGUCCUUUUGUGACUGAUUAAUUUCAUUCAGCAUAAUGCCUUUCAGAUUUAUCCAUGCCGUGAGAUGUUUCAAAGAUUCCUCUUGUUACUUAUUGUUGCAUAGUAUUCCAUUGUGUGUACGUACCAUAGUUUGUUUAUCCAUUCAUCUGUUGAUGAGCACUUAAGUUGUUUCCAUCUUUUUGCUAUUGUGAAUAGUGCUGCAGUGAACAUGGGUGUGCAUAUGUCAAUUCAUAUGAUGGCUCUUACUUCUCUUGGGUAUAUUCCUAGGAGCGGGAUUGCUGGGUCAUUUAGUUUUUCUGUUUCUAGUUUUUUAAGGAAGUGCCAAAUAGUUUUCUAAAGUGGUUGUACAAUUUUACUUUCCCACCAACAGUGCACAAGAGUUCCAAUCUCUCCGUGACUUCUUUAACUUCUGUUACUUUGUGUUUUUUGGCUUAGUGCCAGCCUUGUUGGGGUGAGAUGGUAUCUCAUUGUAGUUUUGAUUUGUAUUUCUCUAAUAGGCUAAUGAUCAUGAGCAUUUCCUCAUGUGUCUGUUAGGCUCCUUCUUUGGGUGAAGUGUCCAUUCAUAUCCUUUGCCCAUUUUUUUUAAUCGGAUUAUUCGUCUUUUUGUUGUUGAGGUGUUGCAAUAUCUUGUAGAUUUUAGAGAUUAAACCGUUAUUGGAUAUGUCGUAACCAAAAUUUUUUUCCCAGUCUGUAGUCAAACUGUCAACCUUUAGGUUAGUAUUGUGCCACUUAGAAACCAGUAAGACCCCAUAAGCAUUUAUUCUCAAGAACAAAUGGUUUUCAAACAGGUCUUGUGGUUCAGGUAGCUAGAAGGCCCUUCAGUGUGUUGGGUUUUGUGAGUCUGGGCAUACGGGUUUGGAUAGGGAGCUGAGGCAGGGCUGGCUCUUUGGAUGGGCAAAGAAUCUGAAGUCAUCUGGGAGCUCUGAGAGGUGCUAAAAAAAGACUAGUGCAAGGCCUAGAAAAUAGAAACCUCACUGUAUGGUGUAUGGAAAUGUCUAAUGAAGGAGUUUUGAUUUGUUUGCUGCAGGAUGUGCAAUGUAGCCCCCUCAUUUUAUCUCCUUUGAAAUCUUUAGUACAAUCUGCAGAACUCAGCAAUAUGAGGCUUUAAGUAGAGUCUUUGGGGAAAGUGGUGCUAGCCACUAUGGAUUCACCAGAGUGUGUGAGUAGCCUCUGAUAAACAAGGCCUUCCCUAGGCAUAACCUUUAUCCCCUCUGCUGUUCUGUUUGCCUAGACUCUUCUAGAUGCGAGGACAGGAUAUCACCUUCCCUGAGACCUCCUUGUCCAAACUCCCAGCCCAGAACACCAUUCACCCUGCCCCAGCAUUAAUGGAGACACCUUUCCUUCUCCUUCCCCUCCCUAGCCUAUUUCCCCUUUGCAGCUGAAACCAUUUUACUUCUCACUGGCCUCCCCCUAACUCAUGCAAAUGGGGAGAGAAAACUAGAGUAGACUCUGACUUCUUGGCUUCUUUUUAUUGCAUCUGCCUGCUUCCCCUGUAGAGAGAGCUGCAACCCUGCACUUGCAGUGGUUUCAUUGCCUGGUGGGAAUUCAUUAUUUUAUUCCUGUGUUCAUUCAACAAACAUUUACUGAGUGCUUACUAUAUGCCAGCCUUAUGGGCAGCCUAGUCAGGGGACGCAGACAAUAAAAAUAAAUAAAUAUACUAAAGGUAAUAGGUGCUUAUAGAGAGGAACAAAGUUGGAAGGGGGAGGGAAGUGCUAGAGAGAUGGCUGCAGUUUUAAAUAGGGCUAUCAGGAAGGCUUCCCUGAGAAGACAUUUGCGCAAAGAUUUCAAGGGGAGUGGGUGGGAGGGAAAAGCUGUGUGGACAUCUGGGAGAGGACCGUUUUAGGCAGAGGGAACAGCAAGUGCAAAGGCCCGGAGGAGAGAGCAUAUUUGGAUAUCAUGGACUCGCAGGGAAGCUUGUGCAACUAGAGCCAAGUGCAUGAGGGAAAGAGGAGAAGGAGAUAAAGUCAGAUUGGAUAGGGCCCUGUAAGCCAUUGUGAAGACUCUGGCUUUUGUUUUGAGUGAGAUUGCUUCCCACAGUGGACUUCCUAUCAAGGAUGGCUUGGCGGCCUACCAUGGUGGGAUAGAGCUUAGAUGCUCAGAAAAAGUAUCUGGGAUAGAGAAGGUCAAUGUCUGCUCUGACUGUGUGACAGAAGUGAAGGCUUGAGGGUGACUAGAAGGGCAAGAAAGGGGCUCUGGUGGCAAAGUCGUUAAGCGCACAACUCCUAACUGAAAGGUUGUUGGUUGAAACCCACCAGCCACUCCAUGGGAGAAAAAUGUGGCAGCCUGCUUCUGUAAAGAUUAACCAUUGCUGUCGAGUUGAUUCCAACUCAUGGCAACUCUGUAGGGCAGACUAGAACUGGCCCAUAGGGUUUACGGAAGCAGAUUGCCACAUCUUUCUCCUGUGGAAUGGCUGGUGGGUUUGAACUGUUGAUCUUUCAAGUAUCAGAGCACUUAACCACUUUGUCACCAAGAUGCCUUCCCAUAAAGAUUACAGCCUUGGAAACCCUAUGGGGCUGUUCUACUCUGUCCUAUGCGGUUCCUAUGAGUCAGAAUCAACUCGAUGACAAUGAGUUUAAUGGGUUUAGAAGGGCAAGUGGUGGAGAAGGAAACCCAGGGCCUAAACACAGAUAUGAGGAAGGGCUGUGAAGAAUAGACAUGCAAGAAGACACCCUAUCCCACCCAAACUCACAAAUCACAGAGAGGGCUAGCUCACAGUAUGUAGGGGCUGAAGGAGGCGGCGGGGAGGGGGGUCUGGGCAGGGAGCUGCAAGGGUGCGUUGUGUGGCUGCAGCAAGGAACCUACUGAGAACCUGGAAAUAAAGGAAGUAGGUAACUCUCUGUCAGACUGCAAAGUCCAGAUCUGAUCAGAGAUACACAGAAUCUCCUUAAAGCAAUUUAAAAAAAGUUUUUUUUGAUUGUGCAUUAGGUGAAAGUUUACAGAGCAAAUUAAUUUCCCAUUCCAUAGUUUAUACAUGAAAUGUUUCAUAACACUGGUUUCAUUAAAGCAGUGUUUGAUUCUCAAAGAGUGGUCCUUCCACCAGCAUCAGCAUCCCCUGGAAGUGAAAUAGAAAUGCAAAUUGUUGGGCCCUACCCUAGGCCUAUAGAGUCAGAAACUCUGGGGAUAAGGUCCAACAAUCUCCUUUUUUUUUUUUUUUUAAAUUGUGGUUAAAUACAUACAUAACAAAACACCUGCAAAUUCAGCAAUUUUUACGUUUACAAUUCAGUGACAUUGAUUAUGUUCAUCAUAUUGUGCAAGCACUACCACUAUUCUUUUCCGAAUUAUUCUACCACCAUGAACAGAAACUUAGUGCUCCCUAAGCAAUGACUCCCCCUUUCCCACUCCCUGCCACCCCUGGGGAGUCGUUGGGUGGUUAACGUGUUAGGCUUCUAACCCAAAGUUUGGAAAUUGGAGUCCACCGAGAGGCACCUCAGAAAAAAGACCUGGCGAUUUACUUCUGAAAACGUCAGCUAUUGAAAACCCUGUGGAGCACAGUUCUGUGACACACAUGGGGUUGCCACGAGUCAGAAUUGCCACCCCUGGUAACCACUAAUAAGCUUUGGGGUCUAUACGUUUGCCUAUUUGAUGUAAGUGAAAUCAUACAAUAUUUAUCCUUUUAUGACUGACUUACUUCACUCAGUGUAAUGUUUUCAAAGUACAUCCAUGUUAUAGCGUGUAUCAGAACUUCAUUUGUCUUUAGAACUGAUUAAUAUUCCGUUGUAUGUGUGUACCACAUUUUGUUUAUCCCCAACAACCUGCUUUAAACUGGUACCUCAGAUGAUUCUGAUGCGCACUUAAGUUUGAGAGCCACUGCCUUAAAGAAAUAAAGUGGUUCCCAAGCCUGCAAGGCUUGGCUGAACCGUGGCUGAAUGUGUUAAUGUGGCUUAAGAAUAAAGUCAGUGGGUAGUGGGUUAGCCUUGGAGGCAUGAAGAAGAAGUCACCUAGGCCAAGGUUGUCAGUGACCAGCCAAGAAGUCAAGGAAAUAAUGCUGAGGCUGCUCAAUAAAGGGACCUCCUAGUACCCCUUUGAGGAUAGGGCCGCUUGUGGAAUUGGGACCAACUUAGUUGCUAAGAGCCCUUGUUACGAUUCUUUGUUCUCCAGGGAAUCUGCCAGGUAGACUUAGGCCCCAUGGAAUGUGCCUACAGAAAGAGAAUAAGCUGGCCAGAAAGGUGGUCUCUGUGUGUGCCCUGGAUGUCUUCUGUUUGGCCCCUCCAUUUCCCCUCUCCCAGUCUGCACUCUGCCCCAGGACACUAACUUGUACAGACCACAUCAAAGGGCAUCUCUAGCUUCCGGCUGGUUCAGCUGCUGGAGAGGCCCAGCAGGAAGAUGGAGGAGAGAGAACACUGAGUUGGGGUCUUCAUUUCCUUGGCUACCUUCCUGCAAGGUCUUCUGCUGGCUGAGACCUCCACCUGAGGACAGUGCUCCUUUCCAAGAGACUGGCUCCCCAGGGCUCUUUCCCAGGUUUCAGUAGCCCCAGGGAUAGAUUUCAGGUGGUCCGUGAACUCUGACUGGGAAAUAAAAGUACGUCCUUUCCUCACAUCUGAGACAAGUACGUCCUUUCCUCACACUUGCUUUGUCAAAGACCGCUUCACAGUCAAAAGUUCUUAAAGCCAAGCAACAGUAUCCUUUGCACUGCUUUAUCUUUAUUUAUUAAAAUUAAGUUCAACAUGCUUGCGUUUUAAAUGUGUUGUUAUUAAUGCAGUAAUAAAGAAGCCCAUAACUGAUUCUAUCACAAAUAUUUACUAAUAUUUUGAUACUUGGAACUCGAUACAAUUGUUUUAUUGUAUUGUAUUUUAUUUUAUGCUUCACUAGACACCAAAGGGAUUUGUGAUGCGAAACAAGAGCCCCUGAGAUAAACACUCCCUUAUCCCUUUUUUUUCCCCCCCCCUUUGGUCUUGGGGUGGUAAUAGCUCCUCUGCUUCUAAUCCCAGGUUAUAGCUCUAUCCCGUGUGGUUCCCUUACACCCCACAUACCAUUGUAAAUAAACUGUCCUCUUCAAAUUGUGCUAAUUUGAGGGUGUUACCUGUUUCCUUUUGGAACCCUGACUGAUAAAGUGUGAAUAUGUGUGUAUAAGGGGGGGGGUGGUUAGGGAGACUAGGGGAAAAGGAAUGGACCCUUGCUGUUUCACUUUGUAAAUGAACAAAAGGGCAUCCUGGUGUAUGCACUGGGCUCCCGAGCUUGGUUAACAGCUGUCCCUAAGGAGGGAAAACAAGUCAGGAUUCAGAGCCUACAAGGGGCAGUCCUGUAGGAAGAUAAAGAACUCGCCAAUAUUGCUGUUCCCAGAAGCUUUUCCUUUUCUAAAAAGGGUCCAUGUAGGACUUUGAAAGGAACAAUGGCAGCAGCUUAUUUUGAAAUCCUCCCUCUUCACUCCUGGAAACCAUAUACCGUAGAGCAAUAAAGAGAAUGGAAACACACACACACACACACAUCAUUUUCAGUGAAAGUAGAAGACAGAAAACCUACAAGCUCCAAAUUAUGCAUAUGUGUGACCAAAUGCCAAGCUGGGCAGGCAGUCCCUGCUAGUGCUUCAGGGAAGAGCAGAGAAGGAGGGGGGCUUCUGAUAAUAGUAGUAAAUAUUCAUUCCAGGGAGGACAGGCCUCACUCUGAGAGGGAAGUGCUGAGAGCAGGACUGACUGAACAGAUUCAAAGGCUAAGAUACGUCAAGAAUGUUUUACAAAGUGAGUGAAGGGAUCCACCAUCACCUGUCUGUUCAUUUGUCACACUGUCGUGGCUUUGCAUGUUACUGUGAUGCUGAAAGCUAUGUCAAUCACCAGUAUUUCAAAUAUCAGCAGGAUUGCCACGGUGGAAAGGUUUCAGCAGAGCUUCCAGAUUAAAAUUGACUAGGAAGAAAGGCCUGGUGAUCUACUCCUGCAAAUUAGUCAAUGAAAACCUUGUGGAUCACAACAGAACAUUUUCUGACUUGCUUGCUUUAGACAUGUCGUUAGGAGGGAUCAGUCGCUGGAGGAGGACAUCGUGUUUGAUGAAGUAGAGGGCCUUCGAGAGCAGAGGAGGCUCGUGGUGAGAUGGAUUGGCCUAAUAGCCACAACAAUGGACUCCAACAUGGUAGUGGUCAGGAGGAUGAUGCAGGACUGGACAGUGUUUUCUUCUGUUGCGCGUAAGGUCGCCAUGAGUUGGAGUCCACUUGAAGGCAUCUGUCACCUAUCUGUGUAUAUAAAGAGGCCCAGAAGUGGCAGAUCUCAGAAUGGGUCAGCAAAAUU